AGUGAACGCUGGCGGUAGGCCUAACACAUGCCAGUCGAACGGCAGCACAGUAAGAGCUUGCUCUUACGGGUGGCGAGUGGCGGACGGGUGAGGAAUACAUCGGAAUCUACUUUUUCGUGGGGGAUAACGUAGGCAAACUUACGCUAAUACCGCAUACGACCUACGGGUGAAAGCAGGGGAUCUUCGGACCUUGCGCGAUUGAAUGAGCCGAUGUCGGAUUAGCUAGUUGGCGGGGUAAAGGCCCACCAAGGCGACGAUCCGUAGCUGGUCUGAGAGGAUGAUCAGCCACACUGGAACUGAGACACGGUCCAGACUCCUACGGGAGGCAGCAGUGGGGAAUAUUGGACAAUGGGCGCAAGCCUGAUCCAGCCAUACCGCGUGGGUGAAGAAGGCCUUCGGGUUGUAAAGCCCUUUUGUUGGGAAAGAAAAGCAGCAGGUUAAUACCCCGCUGUUCUGACGGUACCCAAAGAAUAAGCACCGGCUAACUUCGUG
rnacentral:rRNA from 1 species